GAUGAAGAACGUAGUGAAAUGCGAUACUUGGUGUGAAUUGCAGAAUCCCGUGAACCAUCGAGUCUUUGAACGCAAGUUGCGCCCGAAGCCAUUAGGCCGAGGGCACGCCUGCCUGGGCGUCACACGUCGUUGCCCCCCCAUCUACUCCUUCGGGAUUGCGGGGGGCGGAUGAUGGCCUCCCGUGCGCCUCGUCGCGCGGUUGGCAUAAAUGCCAAGUCCUCGGCGACGCACGCCACGACAAUCGGUGGUUGCGAAACCUCGGUUGCCCGUCGUGUGCGGUCGUCGCGCAUCGAGGGCUCGAAAAAAUUGUCGGGCUCCGGCUCGGCUUUCAACGCGACCCCAGGUCAGGCGGGGUUACCCGCUGAAUUUAAGCAUAUCAAUAAGCGGAGGA
rnacentral:misc_RNA from 1 species